UCGAGGAUCUUCGGCAAUGGGCGCAAGCCUGACCGAGCGACGCCGCGUGUGCGAUGAAGGCCUUCGGGUUGUAAAGCACUGUCGAGGGGGAGAAAGCCCGCAAGGGUUGAUCGACCCCUGGAGGAAGCACGGGCUAAGUUCGUGCCAGCAGCCGCGGUAAGACGAACCGUGCGAACGUUGUUCGGAUUCACUGGGCUUAAAGGGCGCGUAGGCGGGUGUCCGAGUCCGGGGUGAAAUCCUCCCGCUCAACGGGAGAACAGCCUUGGAUACCGGGCGUCUCGAGGGAGGUAGGGGCAGGUGGAACUUCCGGUGGAGCGGUGAAAUGCGUAGAUAUCGGAAGGAACGCCGGUGGCGAAAGCGACCUGCUGGACCUCUUCUGACGCUGAGGCGCGAAAGCCAGGGGAGCAAACGGGAUUAGAUACCCCCGUAGUCC
rnacentral:rRNA from 1 species